UACAGAACUGGUCUGUUCCCUUCGGACAAAGCUGACGUUCUCUUCUUUAUUUUCACAUUGCUGACUGAAGUGUCUUCAUUUGGCAGUGUGACAAUUUGGAGUAGAUUGUAUGAGAAAGA